rnacentral:rRNA from 1 species
AUUGAACGCUGGUGGAAUGCUUUACACAUGCAAGUCGAACGGCAGCACGGACUUCGGUCUGGUGGCGAGUGGCGAACGGGUGAGUAAUGUAUCGGAACGUGCCCAGUCGUGGGGGAUCACGUAGUGAAAAUUACGCUAAUACCGCAUACGAUCUAUGGAUGAAAGCGGGGGAUCGCAAGACCUCGCGCGAUUGGAGCGGACGAUAUCAGAUUAGGUAGUUGGUGGGGUAAAGGUCCACCAAGCCAACGAUCUGUAGCUGGUCUGAGAGGACGACCAGCCACACUGGAACUGAGACACGGUCCAGACUCCUACGGGAGGCAGCAGUGGGGAAUUUUGGACAAUGGGCGAAAGCCUGAUCCAGCCAUUCCGCGUGCAGGAUGAAGGCCCUCGGGUUGUAAACUGCUUUUGUACAGAACGAAAAGGUUUCUACUAAUACUAGGAGCUCAUGACGGUACUGUAAGAAUAAGCACCGGCUAACUACGUGCCAGCAGCCGCGGUAA